GACGAACGCUGGCGGCGUGCCUAAUACAUGCAAGUUGAGCGAUGAAGCUUGGUGCUUGCACCAAUUUGAAGAGCAGCGAACGGGUGAGUAACGCGUGGGGAAUCUGCCUUUGAGCGGGGGACAACAUUUGGAAACGAAUGCUAAUACCGCAUAACAACUUUAAACAUAAGUUUUAAGUUUGAAAGAUGCAAUUGCAUCACUCAAAGAUGAUCCCGCGUUGUAUUAGCUAGUUGGUGAGGUAAGGGCUCACCAAGGCGAUGAUACAUAGCCGACCUGAGAGGGUGAUCGGCCACAUUGGGACUGAGACACGGCCCAAACUCCUACGGGAGGCAGCAGUAGGGAAUCUUCGGCAAUGGACGAAAGUCUGGCCGAGCAACGCCGCGUGAGUGAAGAAGGUUUUCGGAUCGUAAAACUCUGUUGGUAGAGAAGAACGUUGGUGAGAGUGGAAAGCUCAUCAAGUGACGGUAACUACCCAGAAAGGGACGGCUAACUACGUG
rnacentral:rRNA from 1 species